UUUGUUUUUUAAUUAAAAACUAGAAUGAAAGGUUAUACAUUCAAAUUUCUUUAUUAAUUUUUAAUAAAUAAUUUAUAUUAAAUAUAAAAAUAUAUUUAUAAAAAAAAAAGACGACAAGACCCUAUUAAAUUUUACUUAUAGUUUAGCUGGGGAAGCUUUUCAAUUAAAAUUUUUUAAAUUAAAUAAAUAAAAAUCUAAUAAAAUUAAAAUUUUAAUAAAUUACUAUAGGGAUAACAGCAUUAUAUUUUUUUAAAGUUCAUAUUAAAAAAAAUGAUUGUGACCUCGAUGUUGAAUUAUAUUUUCUAUAUUUAAUGCAAUAAUUAUAAAAGUAGAUCUGUUCGAUCUUUAAAAUAUUACAUGAUUUGAGUUCAAACCGGUGUAAACCAGGUUGGUUUUUAUCUUUUUAUAUAUUUUUCUAGUACGAAAGGACAAAAAAAUUUUUAUUUUAAUAAAUUAGCAAAUAAAUGCAUUAGAUUUAGAAUCUAAUUAUAUUUAAUA
rnacentral:rRNA from 1 species